rnacentral:rRNA from 1 species
UAGGGAAUCUUCGGCAAUGGGGGCAACCCUGACCGAGCAACGCCGCGUGAGUGAAGAAGGUUUUCGGAUCGUAAAGCUCUGUUGUAAGUCAAGAACGGGUGUGAGAGUGGAAAGUUCACACUGUGACGGUAGCUUACCAGAAAGGGACGGCUAACUACGUGCCAGCAGCCGCGGUAAUACGUAGGUCCCGAGCGUUGUCCGGAUUUAUUGGGCGUAAAGCGAGCGCAGGCGGUUUGAUAAGUCUGAAGUUAAAGGCUGUGGCUCAACCAUAGUUCGCUUUGGAAACUGUCAAACUUGAGUGCAGAAGGGGAGAGUGGAAUUCCAUGUGUAACGGUGAAAUGCGUAGAUAUAUGGAGGAACACCGGUGGCGAAAGCGGCUCUCUGGUCUGUAACUGACGCUGAGGCUCGAAAGCGUGGGGAGCGAACAGA